rnacentral:rRNA from 1 species
UACGAAGGGUGCAAGCGUUACUCGGAAUUACUGGGCGUAAAGCGUGCGUAGGUGGUUUGUUAAGUCUGUUGUGAAAGCCCCGGGCUCAACCUGGGAAUGGCAUUGGAUACUGGCAGGCUAGAGUGCGGGAGAGGGUAGUGGAAUUCCCGGUGUAGCGGUGAAAUGCGUAGAGAUCGGGAGGAACACCAGUGGCGAAGGCGGCUACCUGGACCAGCACUGACGCUGAGGCGCGAAAGCGUGGGGAGCAAACAGG